AUGCUCUGUUUACCUUUCCUACCAAACCUUGCUCCCGUAUAACAGCUGUGUGUUGAAGUCAAAUGAUAAAACAGCAUCCGUAUAACAGUUUUUCUAACGUCAAACGUCGAAGCUCUUUUUGUCAACCUAUUUGUAAACAUUUUUUGUGGAUGUCAAAAGACAGACUAAGACAACGUAAUAUUUAGCCGUUCAAGUUCCGAAGCCAGAUUAAAGUCACCACCAAAAGAUUCGGCACCGGUGGAGGCACCGGGCUCGAAAUAUGUAAGAUGAAGUUGCCAAAGAUAGCAAUAACAGUUCUGCCUGCGUAGAACUUCCGGUGGACAAACUUGCUGCUGUCCAACGCCAGAUCCUAGAGUCAAACCUACAUCGUCGCUGAGCCACCACCAGGAUGGCCGCUCUAAGUUGCAGGAAGUGGCCUACUUAACCGCCGCGAGUUGC